rnacentral:tRNA from 1 species
GGCCCCAUCGUCUAACGGCUAGGACGCCAGGUUUUCAUUCUGGAAAUCGGAGUUCGAUUCUCCGUGGGGUCA